rnacentral:lncRNA from 1 species
CUGGAAUAAAUACCUAAUGGUAUUGAUGCAUUAUUUUCUUGAAGUGGUAUGAACACUAUUGAGUACAAUUUUCUUCAGGAUUUUAAUCGCUAUUAAAUCACUCAUUGUUUCUUUUUAUGCUUAUUUUUGGUGAUUGGAGAAGGGAUUUGUGAGCUUUGAUAAUUUUGCUAUUAUUUAUUUGUUUGCCUUCUUUUUUUUCUUUUUUGCAGAGCCCUCAAUUUCCUACUUUUUCUUCUAUUGCCAUAGUUACUGAAUGUUAAAAAAUCUCUCAUUUUAUUUUACCUUUCUCUUCUCCAGCAACGAUGCCUCUCAAAGCUUAGCACGAAGAACUGUGCCCUCUUUUAAUUCCUUUCUGUGUUUAGUCAUCUGAACAAACACAUUUCUUUAAUUUCACACUUACAGUGGAAUUUUUCUUGCUGGCAGUGACCAUAGCUCAAGGUCAUGAUUGGAAAAUAGUAAUCCUCUAUGAAAGCUUCGUAUCACAGGAAGAAAGUACCUUGCUUCCUCUUCACCUUCUGCCAUGAUUGUAAGUUUCCUGAGGCCUCCUCAACCAUGCUGAACUGCAAGGGAGACAGCAUGGUGGAGAGGCUAAGAAUUCAGUGACUGGAGCCAAUUACACUGGGUUGGAAACCUCUAUCAUUGCUUACUAACUGGAUAAACUUGGGCAGGUCGCUCAACAUCUCUGAAAUAAUAUUGACUUAAGCCUAGGAUUGUUAGAAGAAUAAAUUGGUUAAUAUGUGUAAGGAUCUUAGUAUUAGACUCAAAAUAAGAAUCAUAAAUAUUACUGUUAAUUAUCACCAUGAAAACCCAAGGCUUACUGAGAUUACGUGAUCAACUUACUCUGCAGUGGAGAGGAGGAGGGUAAACAGAAGGAGCUUUGACCAACAGCUGCUGCCAAGCUUUACGACUUGGAGGAGAUAAGGGUUGUGGAUGUAUUUAUUAUCUUCUGUGGAAAGAAAAAUGAUCGUCUGUGUUAAAAUUCAAUCAAAUCUACAUUAUCUAAUUGAAGCACAUCCAAGGGACACAUUUUGUUGUUAACAGAAACAUUAAUCUGAAAGCAGG